GUAGGGAAUAUUGGGCAAUGGGGGAAACCCUGACCCAGCGACGCCGCGUGAGGGAAGACGGCCUUCGGGUUGUAAACCUCUUUUGUACGGGAAGAAGGAAGUGACGGUACUGUACGAAUAAGUCCCGGCUAACUACGUGCCAGCAGCCGCGGUAAUACGUAGGGGACGAGCGUUGUCCGGAAUUACUGGGCGUAAAGGGCGCGCAGGCUGUGCUGCAAGUCAGCUGUGAAAUGUCUGGGCUUAACCCGGGCAUGCGGUUGAGACUGCAGUGCUGGAGUGCUGUAGAGGCAAGUGGAAUUCCCAGUGUAGCGGUGAAAUGCGUAGAUAUUGGGAAGAACACCGGUGGCGAAGGCGACUUUCUGGACUGUAACUGACACUGAGGCACGAAUGCGUGGGUAGCAAACAGGAUUAGAAACCCUGGUAGUCC
rnacentral:rRNA from 1 species